GACGAACGCUGGCGGCGUGCUUAACACAUGCAAGUCGAACGGAAAGGCCCUGCUUUUGUGGGGUGCUCGAGUGGCGAACGGGUGAGUAACACGUGAGUAGCCUGCCCUUGACUUUGGGAUAACUUCAGGAAACUGGGGCUAAUACCGGAUAGGAGCUCCUGCUGCAUGGUGGGGGUUGGAAAGUUUCGGCGGUUGGGGAUGGACUCGCGGCUUAUUAGCUUGUUGGUGGGGUAGUGGCUUACCCAGGCUUUGACGGGUAGCCGGCCUGAGAGGGUGACCGGCCACAUUGGGAUUGAGAUACGGCCCAGACUCCUACGGGAGGCAGCAGUGGGGAAUAGUGCACAAUGGGCGGAAGCCUGAUGCAGCAACGCCGCGUGGGGGAUGACGGCCUUCGGGUUGGAAACCGCUUUCGCCUGUGACGAAGCGUGAGUGACGGUAAUGGGUAAAGAAGCACCGGCUAACUACGUG
rnacentral:rRNA from 1 species